rnacentral:rRNA from 1 species
UACGAAGGGGGCUAGCGUUGCUCGGAAUUACUGGGCGUAAAGCGCACGUAGGCGGCUUCUUAAGUCGGUGGUGAAAUCCUGGAGCUCAACUCCAGAACUGCCUUCGAUACUGGGAGCUCGAGUCCGGGAGAGGUGAGUGGAACUGCGAGUGUAGAGGUGAAAUUCGUAGAUAUUCGCAAGAACACCAGUGGCGAAGGCGGCUCACUGGCCCGGUACUGACGCUGAUGCACGAAAGCGUGGGUAGCAAACAGG